UCAAGUUGUAAAAAUAAUAAUUGAUCUUCGCUCUUUAUCAGUUACGUCGUGUGCUCAAGAGUAUGGAACAAGGUGAUAAAAGAAAGUCGGAAGAAGGAGGCGGUGGUGAUUUGAAGAAAAUUGAGCAAAGUAGUAAUGUUCCUCCACAUCGACAAGAAAUUAAGGUCAGAGGACCACCCCCAGGAUUUUGUAAAAUAAGAAUGAUGCAAACGAGUGGAAAACUUGGUGUCGGGUUCGGAUCGGAAGUUAAGUCAGCCUUCUAUCUGUUGGCCAGACUUUUACCGUGAUGGAAUCCAAAGAUCUAAUUUAUAGCCAACCGGAAGCACUUUCUCAAUGCACCCCACCGAUUGUUCCUCCACCAGAGUUGCAGCCCCUUGCACCGGAAGAGAAAGCAUCUGCCAUUGCCUUAAUCAAAGCUGCGGGCGAAGAAGGGCUUGAUGUCGGAGGAGAAACUGGGUUGAAAUUUGUGUGGAAACAAAAGUGUAGCAUAGGAUUUGGACAACGGAGGGAAAGAAAGUCAGACCAAUUGUGUCUCAGGAACAAGUCGAUGGACUGUCGGCCGAUCUGCACUUAUGAAGACUGUUUCUCUGCAUUUUCUGGAACAAGGGCAGACGAAGUAGAGCCAAAAUGCCUGACACACAAGGGACCGAGCACCGGCUAUGCAGUCUACGAGUUCAAAAAUAAGAAGGCAGGAGUCACUGAAAUUGGGCAUAUGCUCAUGAGCUAUAAUUAAGAAACAAACAAAAAUAAAGACCAUCUACAAGAAGCCUUCAGCAGCAGAGUCAAACCGAAGGGAAUUGUAGGAAAACCUGAACUUUUUGAUAGUUGUAAUGAUGCCGAGAAAAGGUUCGCGGUUUUGCAGACGGUUACACUUUUGAAAUGCUUAAUCAAUCCCACUAAAUUUAAGUACAUCACCCUAUCCGUGUCACUCGCAAAUGGUCUGGAGGCAGAAGUAAAGGAAGAAAUGGACAAACAGGGAUUCCAACUUGAAAUUAAGGAGAUUCACAAUUCCAAAUCUGAGAAUGCAUCAAUCCCAUUUCCAUUUGGAAGACGAGUUGAACAGGGAGAGAAAUUGGUGGACUUGGUGAAGGAUAAUAAUGGUGCUCUGUACAUAAUUUGUGAUGCCAAAAUAAUCUAUGGUGGUCAGACCAUCAAUGGGAAAGAUACUCACGAUAUCUUUAAAAAUCCUACUGGUACCGUGGCGCAGUAUGAAAAAGAGUUUGGAACGGGCACUCUGGUGAAGAUCCCUCUUUGUGAAAUUACACUACCCAAGAAAGAAAAAAAAAACAAAGGAAGAUAAGGCAUCCACGUCCACGGAAGAGAAAGAUCCACUCAGAAAGAUGGAGGCGCAUCUUCAUAUUUGCCUCUACAUUGCGUACCUCUUCCGCCUACGAAACCCUUUCCAUAACACUUUCUUAAAAACCCAUCCCUACUGUCUGAAUAAGGAAGUAAUUUCUUCGUAUUUCGAUGAACACUCCUGGGAGAAAAUUGUUUUGUUUUUAAAGAGAGAAUAUGGUUGCCAGUUUUAAAGGAAUUGUAAUACGAGGGUAACCACCUGUUGAUGAAUAAAUUAUAUAUAAAUAUAUAUAAAUA